GGGGUUGUGCCUGAAUUAUAGGGCCACUUUGAUAGAGUGAAACAUGGGGGAUAAAGACCCCCCAACCCCU
rnacentral:tRNA from 1 species